GGCGGUUUGGCCGAGUGGUUAAGGCGAUUGAGUAUGUUUUCCUGCUCAUAAAAAUAAUCCCAACAUCCACUAACAAUUUCUUACAGUUCGAAAUCAAUUCCGUUCGCGGGCGCAUGUUCGAAUCAUGCAGCCGUCG
rnacentral:tRNA from 1 species